rnacentral:tRNA from 1 species
GGUCUUGUGGUCUAGAGGUAUGAUUCUCGCUUAGGGUGCGAGAGGCCCCGCGUUCGAAUCGCGGCAAGACCC